CUACGGCGGCUGCAGUGAGGAAUAUUGCACAAUGGGGGGAACCCUGAUGCAGCAACGCCGCGUGGAGGAUGACGCAUUUCGGUGUGUAAACUCCUUUUAUAUGUCAAGAAAAUGACGGUAGCAUAUGAAUAAGCACCGGCUAACUCCGUGCCAGCAGCCGCGGUAAUACGGAGGGUGCAAGCGUUACUCGGAAUCACUGGGCGUAAAGGACGCGUGGGCGGGUUGGAAAGUCAGGUGUGAAAUCCUACAGCUUAACUGUAGAACUGCACUUGAAACUUCUAAUCUAGAGUAUGGGAGGGGGAGAUGGAAUUAGUGGUGUAGGGGUAAAAUCCGUAGAUAUCACUAGGAAUACCUAAAGCGAAGGCGAUCUCCUGGAACAUUACUGACGCUAAGGCGUGAAAGCGUGGGGAGCAAACAGGAUUAGAUACCCCUGUAGUC
rnacentral:rRNA from 1 species